CAAAUACUCCCUCCGUCCGGAAAUACUUGUCAUCAAAAUGGAUGUAUCUAGAUGUAUUUUAGUUCUAGGUACAUCCAUUUUUAUCAAUUUAUGCGACAAGUAUUUCCGGACGGAGGGAGUAGUUU
rnacentral:pre_miRNA from 1 species